CUUGUUUCUUUAUCAGCCACACGGUUACACCUUCGACUCUAUUAUAGGGUCGGACAGGGUACAUUACAUCACGCCUUCACAUAAAGUAUAUUCUCCACCAAGCCUCCAUGUUGACGGUCUGCACAUGAAAAGUUUCCCUUUGGUAGGUAGAAUUCAUACACGCCAGAAAUAAACCAUUACAUAAAUGCAGGAUAUUAAUCAUACACACUGCGGUCAUCAU